UACGGGAGGCAGCAGUGGGGAAUAUUGCACAAUGGGCGCAAGCCUGAUGCAGCCAUGCCGCGUGUAUGAAAAAGGCCUUCGGGUUGUAAAGUACUUUCAGUCGUGAGGAGGUGUUAAGGUUAAUAACCUUAGCAAUUGACGUUAGCGACAGAAGAAGCACCGGCUAACUCCGUGCCAGCAGCCGCGGUAAUACGGAGGGUGCGAGCGUUAAUCGGAAUUACUGGGCGUAAAGGGCACGCAGGCGGUUAAUUAAGUUGGAUGUGAAUCCCCGGGCUUAACCUGGGAAUGGCAUUCAAGCUGGUUAGCUAGAGUCUUGUAGAGGGGGUAGAAUUCCAUGUGUAGCGGUGAAAUGCGUAGAGAUGUGGAGGAAUACCGGUGGCGAAGGCGGCCCCUGGACAAAGACUGACGCUCAUGUGCGAAAGCGUGGGGAGCAAACAGGGAUUAGAUACC
rnacentral:rRNA from 1 species